UUUAAAGCUUCAAACUGGGAUUAGAUACCCCACUAUUCUUGAUUUUAAAUAUAAUUAAAUUUACCAGAGUACUAUGAAUGGUUAAAAAUUUAAAACUCAAAGGGCUUGGCGGUGUUUUAGACCUAUCAGGGGAACCUGUCUCAUAAUCGACAAUCCACGCAAUAUCUGACCUUAUUUUGUAAUCAGUUUGUAUACCGUCGUCGUCAGGUAACUUUUAAAAAUAUAGAAGUUAGCAAUCAAAAUUACUUUGAGUUAAAACGUCAGAUCAAGGUGCAGCCUAUAAUAAGGAGAGGAUGGGUUACAAUUAUAAAAAUUAUAAUUACGGAAAUUUAAAUGAAAUUUAUUUUUGAAGGAGGACUUGAAAGUAAACUGGAAUAUAUAAAUAGUUUGAAUGAGGCUCUGAAACGUGCACACACCGCCCGUCACCCUCCUGCAGUCAA
rnacentral:rRNA from 1 species